rnacentral:rRNA from 1 species
UACGGGGGGGGCAAGCGUUGUUCGGAAUUACUGGGCGUAAAGGGCUCGUAGGCGGCCAACUAAGUCGGAUGUGAAAUCCCCAGGCUUAACCUGGGAACUGCAUCCGAUACUGGAUGGCUUGAAUCCGGGAGAGGGAUGCAGAAUUCCAGGUGUAGCGGUGAAAUGCGUAGAUAUCUGGAGGAACACCGGUGGCGAAGGCGGCAUCCUGGACCAAUUCUGACGCUGAGGAGCGAAAGCCAGGGGAGCAAACGGG